rnacentral:rRNA from 1 species
AUUGAACGCUGGCGGCAGGCCUAACACAUGCAAGUCGAGCGAGCGGCGGACGGGUGAUUAAUGUCUGGGGAACUGCCUGAUGGAGGGGGAUAACUACUGGAAACGGUAGCUAAUACCGCAUACUAUCAGAUGAGCCCAGAUGGGAUUAGCUAGUAGGUGGGGUAAUGGCUCACCUAGGCGACGAUCUCUAGCUGGUCUGAGAGGAUGAGCAGCAAAACUGGGACGGAGACACGGCCCAGACUCCUACGGUAGGAAGCAGUGGGGAAUAUGGCACAAUGGGAGCAAGCCUGAUGCAGCCAUGCCGCGUGUGUGAAGAAGGCCUUAGGGUUGUAAAGUACUUUCAGCGGGGAGGCGUUACGCGCAGAAGAAGCACCGGCUAACUCCGUGCCAGCAGCCGCGGUAAUUC